rnacentral:rRNA from 1 species
UACGUAGGGGGCAAGCGUUGUCCGGAUUUAUUGGGCGUAAAGAGCGUGUAGGCGGCCGUACAGGUCAGCUGUGAAAACUCGAGGCUCAACCUCGAGACGUCGGUUGAAACCGUACGGCUAGAGUCCGGAAGAGGAGAGUGGAAUUCCCGGUGUAGCGGUGAAAUGCGUAGAUAGUCGGGAGGAACACCUGUGGCGAAAGCGGCUCACUGGACCAUAACUGACGCUGAUGCACGAAAGCUGGGGGAGCAAACAGG